CCAAAAGUCUUCCAAGAAAACAGUUACUGUUACCUUUCUAUCAUCUCCAACCAGUCUGACCAUUCUCUGACCUCUCACAUCAACGAGUCAAUCUGGUCCAGACAACUGCUGCUCAUUGGAUAUUUUUUUUUUUAUCGUUUUCAGACCAUUCUCUGU